rnacentral:misc_RNA from 1 species
UGUAGGAGUGAGCCUGCUCGCGAUAGCGCUUUGUCAGUCAACAUUGAUUCAACUGACCCACCGCUAUCGCGAGCAGGCUCGCUCCCACA